ACCUGUACCCUGUUCCUCCGGGUUCCCCCGGGUUCCCCCGUCCCCCCUGUACAGUCCGCCUUCUCCCAGAUAGCGCUGGCUUUUCGUAGCGACCAGUUCACCCUGAGGCAGAGGCUGCUUGCAGAAGAGCACGCCAGGAACCUGGCCGAGGAGAACAUCCAGCUGGAACUGGUUAGGGGCCGUGAGACACUGGAGACUCUGAAGGCGCUGUGCCUUGACAGUAAGCGCAGUGAGAUCCUCCAGAGACUAGAGCUGUGCCUGGACAUAAUGGAAGGGACAGUAGAGAGAGUAUCCAGCACAGCAGAGGUGCUUGGAGCCGUACAUCAGGAGGCGCGUGUUAGCAGGGCGUUGGAUCUGAUGGUGAGCCAUGUGGAGAGCCUGAGGAGGCGUCUUGAGAGGGGCGGCCCGGAGCUCGACGAGACCAAGGACAUCCACGGGAGGGGCUCCCACCGGGUUCAUAGCGACUGCAAAGGUGAAGGAGAGUUCAAGGAGAGGUUCAGUAAAAGCUCUCAGCAGUUGCACUUUGGUGCGAGCCGUCGAAGGAUCAGCGUAGAGCUGAUCACAAAACAAGCCCAGGUCUAAAUAAUUGCAACUCUAAAUACUACAUCCAUGUAAGAAUGUAUGCACAAACACACACUUUACACCAACUAUCUGCCUAUUUCUUUCCUCAGGAAAAAAGAAAACCAGAAAGAGUGCUGCACAAAUCACUUUCAUUAGAUAAUGUGAUGGGGAGGAAGACUUCGCCCUCAGCCCUGUCGUCAUCACUGUUCUCCAUCACGGAGUCCUUAGAGACGUCUUCAUCAACGGUCCCCAUCACAAAGUCCAAGCCUCGCGUCACAGAGGAUACAUACAGUGUCCUGGAUAACAGGUAAUUUAGACACAGUAUAUCUGAAUGCGAGGGUUAAACAGCAAUUGCCGUCAGACACCACCAUAACCAACCAAAACUUUUAAUUGACUGAAGACCACCUGAAACUCCAGAUGACAGCAGAGCAGAGGUCACCACCACCGCUGUCAGGUUACAACCCCAGCUGGGCCCUUCUCUAGCCGACACAGCAGUCAGCCGCUCCGCUCCCACACACCAGCCAAACCAAGCGGUCACCAAACGGACAAACAGCAGCAGGUACAGUAAAUCACUGCGACCAGUCACGCACCCGUUCAGUGA
rnacentral:lncRNA from 1 species